UACGAAGGUCCCGAGCGUUGUUCGGAAUCACUGGGCGUAAAGGGAGCGUAGGCGGCGCGGUAAGUCAGAUGUGAAAUCCCGGGGCUCAACCCCGGAACUGCAUCCGAUACUGCCGUGCUAGAGGAUUGGAGAGGUAGCUGGAAUUCUUGGUGUAGCAGUGAAAUGCGUAGAGAUCAAGAGGAACACUCGUGGCGAAAGCGAGCUACUGGACAAUAUCUGACGCUGAGGCUCGAAGGCCAGGGUAGCGAAAG
rnacentral:rRNA from 1 species